rnacentral:rRNA from 1 species
CCUACGGGAGGCAGCAGUGAGGAAUAUUGGUCAAUGGACGAGAGCCUGAACCAGCCACGUCGCGUGAGGGAUGAAUGCCCUAUGGGUUGUAAACUUCUUUUAUAAAGGAAUAAAACGACGUCCGUGUGCCUUUUUGCAUGUACUUUACGUACAAAGAUAGGACAACUCCGUGCCAGCCGCCGCGGUGAUACGGUGGGUCCGAGCGUUUUCCGGAUUUGUUGGGUGUAAAGGGAGCGUAGAGUGGUUGUUAAGUCAGUUGUGAAAGUUUGGGGCUCAACCGUGAAACUGCCAUUGAUACUGGCAGUCUUGAGUGCGGGUGAGGUAGGCGGAAUUCGAGGUGUAGCAGUGAAAUGCUUAGAUAUCUGGAAGAACCCCGAUGGCGAAGGCGACUAACU